rnacentral:lncRNA from 1 species
GGAGAGAGACCUUCUGUAACUGAAGCACCAGGCAAAUCCUGCUCUAAAUCCUCAUUCUUUUUUAAUUUUUAUAACACCACCACCUUUAUUUUUCACAGCAUCUAGCGUGUAUGUACUGGAUGAUACAUGUCCAAUCAUAACUACUUAUUAUUAUUUAGAUUAUCAGGAGAGGGAGACAAAAAAGCAGUGCCCCUGAAAAACUCAAAAGAAAUAUAGGUUGUCCUCUAAGAGUUUGACUGCAGCUUCACAACGAACUGGGUCAGAGCAGAGAUUCUCAGGUGGACUUAAAGAUGGCUAUUUUGCCAGCCAGAACACUUAUUCCGUGGAAGGCAUGUGCAUUCAUUAAGGAAGAAAGUAUAAUAUCAUGAUAUAAUAAUGCAUAUAAUAUAGUAAUAAUAUAAUGACCCUUGUUUACUUGUGAGCAUUUAUGAGCCUAUCCAAAAGGUAUUAACAUAAGAAAAGAGGCAGUAUCCUGGUGAAAAAGGGAUUACUACAACCAGCCAGGAUCCAAGUCUCCCCUUCUUGAGUGACUUUAAUUUACUAAACCAUGUUAUUAACUUCAAGUAGGAAUAAAAGUACCCACAGUGCUAUAUUUUGAGCAUUAAAAAAAUAACCUCUGUAAAUCACUUAGCACAAUGCCCUGCCUAUGGGAGCCAUAUGGUAAAUUCUUGGUAGCUCCUUAUGAUUGUUAGAAAAAGAGGCAAUGAGCCUGUCUACACACAGGGUGAAGUGGGAGGAAGUUUGACAGCAGAUGCCAAAGGGGCGUCCUACUGACAUGGUUUCCUGCGUGGGGAACAUGGAGGCUUCCCUGACUGACACGUUUCAACAUCAAAUCUACAACUAAGGACCCUGUGUCAGAUUUCAUGCCCACUGAGCAAAUGCACCGCAGGAUGUUAUCAUCGCUGAAAUGAACGAAUUGAUGUUUUGCUUUUCUGUGUCAGUUGUUGCUCUUCUUCAGUCUGAAUAACCAGCCUCUGUCAGUUUGGGGAGAGGGAGGGGAUCAAGAUGGGGUUGGUGGGGGCAAGCCUCGAUUUACGGAACGGGGACAGAGACUAUCUUUGUGAAGUGAGGAACAGGGAGGUUGGUCGCUGAGAGGCUCAAAAACGUCAGCCGGACUAAACAGGUAACUGCAGAAGAGGUUCCCAGAACGCUGCUGUUUCCCCCAACCCAGGAGACAUUUCACUGUAACCACCUAGAUUAUUGGCCACAAAUCCUGUUAAAAAUUGUUUUGAAAAAUGCAGUGGCAGAAGAUUUCAUUCGUCUGUACCCUUGACUGCAUCCAAGGAAGCUUAAAUUGGCUCACAUGCAGAGUGACCACCUGCAGGGCAUCAACCGCAGGUACCAGCUCUGGCUGUCUUUCCUAAGGAAGAGGGAACUAAGGGUUCGGAAGGAGGUUCAGUUCAUCGGUUCACCAUUGCCCUGCGGAUGGCAGGCUCUUCCUGCAUCCUCGUCUGUCACCCCUAACGGUGUGUCCUGCUUCUUUGCCAGCAGAGCCCCCAGGCGCGGACCCGGAUACGCUACGGGCCGGCGUGAGCGGCUUCACUGGCUGCCUCUCUGCUGUGCGCUUUGGCCCCGCUGCCCCGCUGAAGGCGGCGCUGCUCCCGGGCGGCCCUGUUCCGGUCACCAUCCGAGGACACUUGGCCGUCGCGUCCCGCUGCGCGGAGGGGACAGGGCCGGGAGCCCCAGCGCGGGAAGCCACCCGCCCGCUCGCAGGCGGUGCAGGUGUGAUAGCAGUUGUGAUAUUUAUCUUGCUCUGCAUUACUGCUAUUGCUAUACGUGUUUAUCAACAGAGAUGGCUGUACCAAAAAAAUGAGUCAAAUAUUCCCCAAACUGGAGACAACGCUGAGACUGCUCUGAAAAGUGAGCUCAACAUGCAAAGUACAGUGAAUGAAAGCCAGAAAGAAUAUUUCUUCUGAUCAGCAGUGGUGGCUUACUUAUUACUAUGAUGAUGAUGUGACUUUCUUGCUAAGCCAGGGGCUCCCAGUGGGUGAAACUCCCUUCUCCUCCUCCUGGGAGAGACGGUUGGUGUGCAGCCCUGUGAGCUUGCUCAGCAUGGUUGCUGGAGGCUCUGCUCAGUGCUCCUUCUUGAUCUAUUUAUGUAACAGUGACUUAGGUGUGCUCAUUAAUCACAGUCUGGCAGUUUCUGACUGUUCUGACCUGAUCUUCUGAAAUUGAAAUGUAUUUUGCAUAAUUACUUUGGGAUUUAAGUGAGAACAAGGAUCUGAGCUACGGCCCUACUCUCUUAAAAAUUCAACGUGAAAGUUUAUAAAAGUCAAAGUUGGAUGCUAAUGUUUUAUGUUACAUGGGAACCUCCGUUAUGCUUCCUUUAUCAAUCUACCACUGGCAUUUAUAAACCAGGACGUGCUUCUCAGAUGACCUUCAGCCACAUUUCCAUAUUCCUGUGAACCAGCACUCAGUGGCCAAACAUGCAUUAGAAACCUAAAAAAAAACCCAAUUUUUUGCCUGAUUGUUUUUUACUAUUUGUCUCUUUUAAAUCAGUUUUGAUAUUUUUUAGUGAGGAAAUGAGCGUGGAAUGUCAGCUAUGAAAUUCUAGUAUGAAGUUCAGUCACAGAAAAGAAAAUUCAUAGGUGAAAAAAUGUGAAAAGGAUUUCCAUCUGGAAUAAUUUGCAUAUUUGUCUUUGUCAUUUGUCAUUAUACUCUUUGUAAAUUGUAUGACUGAUCUCACAAAAACGUCUAUUUUCUAACUGCCCAUGUAUAAACUCCGAAUUUAACAUUUAAAAUGUAUCCUCCAUCCAUAUCUGAAUGAAAUAUAAUCCUAAAUUUAUUUCCUGUAUAUACGGGGGAUUAGGUUGCUUUUCUUUGUAGGUUCUGUGGGUUUUUUUAUCUGACUGUUAAAACAACAAACCUUUGAUUUCCUGUGACUGUUCAUUUAUUAGGGAAGAAGUCCCAUUUUGAACUAAAUCUCUCCAUUUUCAUUUCUAAAUGUUGAGCUCAUCUAGGUGAAACUUCUCUGAGGUACCCUCUCGCCUAGGUACUAUUUGGACUAUCAGCAGAGGGAUGCUUAUGCUAAGGGAAGAUACAGGUUAUGUGAUCUGAACUAAAUCUGUCAUUCCAGCCACAAUUUUAGGAUCUUGAGAUCAGUUUC